rnacentral:tRNA from 4 species
CGGGGUGUGGCUCAGCUUGGCUAGAGCGCUUGAUUUGGGAUCAAGAGGUCGCAGGUUCAAAUCCUGUCACCCCGA